rnacentral:sRNA from 1 species
UAUAACAGUUGAAUCUACGGCAUUAAGA